GUCUCGCCUCGUAAUCAGACCGAGAUGGACGAUUUCCACAAAAUUUAUGAGAUAUUUUGAUCACGAUAAUAAUAAUAAUACUCAGGUAGCAACUAUCCAGUAAAGGGGAAUUUUCAGUCCCUCUCGUUCACUGGACAGUAGACAUGCUCUCGACAAAAGAGUACUUACGAAAUUGCCAGAACUUUGAAAAAUAACUAAAAGAUGUGCAUCAAUAUUAAAGCCAUUCCAAUUGUGUCGCAUAAUGUUCAUAUUAUUGUCGAAUACGAGUUUUGUUUAGAAAAGCUAUGUUGCAACUUAUCCGGAUUUGUUCUAAACUAAAGUCAUUAUUGGGGUGUUGUUGUACAAAAAUUGGUACAUAGGACCAAGUAUUUUUAUUUUAAAAUGAUAUAAAAAAUAUGUGUAGAAAUUAUACUUUUGAUCAGUGAAUUAAAAAUGAAAUGGAGCAUACCCACGAACAGAAGGUGUGUUUAAACCCCCGAUGUUUAAACUCCAAAGGAGGCAUCCCUUACUGUAAUAAGUCAAGGAUAUACAGUACCAAACACCAACUUCAAUGAGACAGCAAUUGAGCCUCAGGUACAGAUUGGGUGUCACAAUUAUUAACAACUCAACUUUACCAAGACCUAACGGAGUUCAAAAGUUCACGUCUAGAAUUCCAAAUUUAGAUAAAUCCAUUUUGGCAAAAGUUAGUUAUUUUCGCACUGUAAUUUUUGAGCAAAAUUUAAUAUGUAGUAUUAACGCAGAGUAGAGCUUUCUAUUGAAAUUAGAAAGAAAAUUUCUGGAUAUCAGCUUUGAGUGGUUGAACCGUAGUGUUUGUAAAAAAUAUAAUUUUAUAUUAUUGUCUACUUGUGCAUUUUGGAAAUGCGACUCCUAACGAAAUUCCUAUUCCUUCGAAUUUAAGCAAAGAUAACUUGAGAGGGCCAAUUCUGGAUCAUCAUUCCACGUGUAACCUAACAAAGUGGACACGUGGAGUGCCAUCCAGCAAAUCCAUCCGUUUAAAUAGAAUAGACCUUUUUGUCAAAUAAUUCCUGUCUUCUUAUUCCAAACAUAUAUGGCCCACAUCUAACAUCCAUUUUCAUAUAUCUUCGGCCUUUGGCCCAGCAUCU
rnacentral:lncRNA from 1 species